rnacentral:rRNA from 1 species
GAUGAACGCUAGCGGGAGGCUUAAUACAUGCAAGUCGGACGGUAACAGGUCUUCGGAUGCUGACGAGUGGCGCACGGGUGAGUAACGCGUACACAACCUACCUUUAACAGAGGAAUAGCCCUGGGAAACUGGGAAUAAUACCUCAUAGUAUUAUUGAAUCGCAUGGUUUGAUAAUUAAAGUGUUAGCGGUUGAAGAUGGGUGUGCGUACCAUUAGAUAGUUGGUGAGGUAACGGCUCACCAAGUCAGCGAUGGUUAGGGGGCGUGAGAGCGUGAUCCCCCACACGGGUACUGAGACACGGACCCG